rnacentral:rRNA from 1 species
UAGGGAAUCUUCGGCAAUGGGGGGAACCCUGACCGAGCAACGCCGCGUGAGUGAAGAAGGUUUUCGGAUCGUAAAGCUCUGUUGUUAAGGAAGAACGAGUGUGAGAAUGGAAAGUUCAUACUGUGACGGUACUUAACCAGAAAGGGACGGCUAACUACGUGCCAGCAGCCGCGGUAAUACGUAGGUACCGAGCGUUGUCCGGAUUUAUUGGGCGUAAAGCGAGCGCAGGCGGUUAGAUAAGUCUGAAGUUAAAGGCAGUGGCUCAACCAUUGUAGGCUUUGGAAACUUUGUAUCUUGAGUGCAGAAGGGGAGAGUGGAAUUACAUGUGUAGCGGUGAAAUGCGUAGAUAUAUGGAGGAACACCGGUGGCGAAAGCGGCUCUCUGGUCUGUAACUGACGCUGAGGCUCGAAAGCGUGGUGAGCGAACAGG